GGUGAACGCUGGCGGUAGGCCUAACACAUGCAAGUCGAACGGCAGCACAGUAAGAGCUUGCUCUUACGGGUGGCGAGUGGCGGACGGGUGAGGAAUACAUCGGAAUCUACUUUUUCGUGGGGGAUAACGUAGGGAAACUUACGCUAAUACCGCAUACGACCUACGGGUGAAAGCAGGGGAUCUUCGGACCUUGCGCGAUUGAAUGAGCCGAUGUCGGAUUAGCUAGUUGGCGGGGUAAAGGCCCACCAAGGCGACGAUCCGUAGCUGGUCUGAGAGGAUGAUCAGCCACACUGGAACUGAGACACGGUCCAGACUCCUACGGGAGGCAGCAGUGGGGAAUAUUGGACAAUGGGCGCAAGCCUGAUCCAGCCAUACCGCGUGGGUGAAGAAGGCCUUCGGGUUGUAAAACCCUUUUGUUGGGAAAGAAAAGCAGCAGGUUAAUACCCCGCUGUUCUGACGGUACCCAAAGAAUAAGCACCGGCUAACUUCGUG
rnacentral:rRNA from 1 species